AGCAGCCGCGGUAAUUCCAGCUCCAAUAGCGUAUAUUAAAGUUGUUGCAGUUAAAAAGCUCGUAGUUGAAUUUCGGGAUUAAUAUGUUGGUCGUGCCUUGGUACGUACUGGCAUUAUUGAUUCCUACCUUCUGAAGAACCUCGAUGUCAUUAAUUUGGUGUCUUGGGGAAUCAGGACCGUUACUUUGAAAAAAUUAGAGUGUUUAAAGCAGGCUCGCGCUUGAAUACAUUAGCAUGGAAUAAUGAAAUAGGACGUUUGAUUCUAUUUUGUUGGUUUCUAGGAUCGACGUAAUGAUUAAUAGGGAUAGUUGGGGGCAUUAGUAUUCAAUUGUCAGAGGUGAAAUUCUUGGAUUUAUUGAAGACUGACUACUGCGAAAGCAUUUGCCAAGGAUGUUUUCAUUAAUCAAGAACGAAAGUUAGGGGAUCGAAGACGAUCAGAUACCGUCGUAGUCUUAACCAUAAACUAUGCCGACUAGGGAUCGGAUGAUGUAAUUUUUAAUGA
rnacentral:misc_RNA from 1 species